rnacentral:snRNA from 20 species
AUCCUAGUGCACGGGCAGUACGCAUUCAGUGAGGAUUCGUCCGAGAGUGUGUUUUUGCUGGUUGAAAACUAUACCUUGACCACUCCUAUUGGGCCUCUGGCCCGGUAGGGAAUUUUUGGCAAAAACUCUUCACUCUUUUU